AAAACGACUUAUUCUAUACAACCCAUAGCAAAAUACAUGACAUUUUUCUAUCAUUUCCUGCUACAUAUUCUAUGGUACAUACAUCAAAUGAACACUAUACAGUAAUACUGAGUAACCAUUCUAAACACCCUUUGUUGCAACUGUGAGGAUUCUAAACAAGAACAGGUUUUAAAAUGCUGAACACUAUCUAUAAGAUACUUGUUUUCUAUUUGUUUUUUAAAACAAUGAACUAAAUGUUUGUUUUUUCCCAAAAGACAACCAUAUCAAUAACAUUUAAUGUUUAAUAGCCA